GACGAACCGUCCAAACGUUAUUCGGAAUUACUGGGCUUAAAGGGUGCGUAGGCGGCUUCGCAAGUUGGGUGUGAAAUCCCUCGGCUCAACCGAGGAAUGGCGCCCAAAACUGCGGAGCUCGAGGGAGACAGAGGUGAGUGGAACUUGUGGUGGAGCGGUGAAAUGCGUUGAUAUCACAAGGAACACCGGUGGCGAAAGCGGCUCACUGGGUCUCUUCUGACGCUGAGGCACGAAAGCGUGGGGAGCAAACAGGAUUAGAUACCCCCGUAGUCCCUGAG
rnacentral:rRNA from 1 species